AAUCGUUCGUCUGACUUG
rnacentral:snRNA from 1 species